GCAUAUCAAUAAGCGGAGGAAAAGAAACCAACCGGGAUUGCCUCAGUUAACGGCGAAGUGAAGCGGCAAGAGCUUCAAAUUUGAAAUCUGGCCCCUCCGGGGUCCGAGUUGUAAUUUGCAGAGGAUGCUUCGGGUGCGGCCCCUGUCUAAGUGCCCUGGAACGGGCCGUCAGAGAGGGUGAGAAUCCCGUCUUGGGCAGGGUGCCCGUGCCCGUGUGAAGCUCCUUCGACGAGUCGAGUUGUUUGGGAAUGCAGCUCAAAAUGGGUGGUAAAUUUCAUCUAAAGCUAAAUACCGGCCGGAGACCGAUAGCGCACAAGUAGAGUGAUCGAAAGAUGAAAAGCACUUUGAAAAGAGAGUUAAACAGCACGUGAAAUUGUUGAAAGGGAAGCGCUUGCAACCAGACUCGGCCUCGGGGUUCAGCCAGCAUUCGUGCUGGUGUACUUCCCCGGGGCCGGGCCAGCGUCGGUUUGGGCGGCCGGUCAAAGGCCCCAGGAAUGUAUCGUCCUCCGGGACGUCUUAUAGCCUGGGGUGCAAUGCGGCCAGCCUGGACCGAGGAACGCGCUUCGGCACGGACGCUGGCGUAAUGGUCGCAAACGACCCGUCUUGAAACACGGACCAAGGAGUCUAACAUCUACGCGAGUGUUCGGGUGUCAAACCCGUACGCGCAGUGAAAGCGAACGGAGGUGGGAGCCCCCCCGGGGCGCACCAUCGACCGAUCCUGAUGUCUUCGGAUGGAUUUGAGUACGAGCGUAGCUGUGGGGACCCGAAAGAUGGUGAACUAUGCCUGAAUAGGGUGAAGCCAGAGGAAACUCUGGUGGAGGCUCGCAGCGGUUCUGACGUGCAAAUCGAUCGUCAAAUUUGGGGUAUAGGGGCGAAAGACUAAUCGAACCAUCUAGUAGCUGGUUCCUGCCGAA
rnacentral:rRNA from 1 species